UACGUAGGGCGCAAGCGUUGUCCGGAAUUAUUGGGCGUAAAGAGCUCGUAGGCGGCCUGUCGCGUCUGCUGUGAAAUCCCGGGGCUUAACCCCGGGCGUGCAGUGGAUACGGGCUGGCUGGAGGCAGGCAGGGGAGAACGGAAUUCCCGGUGUAGCGGUGAAAUGCGCAGAUAUCGGGAGGAACACCAGUGGCGAAGGCGGCACUCUGGGCCGGAACUGACGCUGAGGAGCGAAAGCGUGGGGAGCGAACAGG
rnacentral:rRNA from 1 species